rnacentral:rRNA from 1 species
UACGAAGGGGGCUAGCGUUGUUCGGAAUUACUGGGCGUAAAGCGCGUGUAGGCGGGUCUUUUAAGUCAGGGGUGAAAUGCCAGGGCUCAACCUUGGAACUGCCUUUGAUACUGGAGACCUUGAGUCCGGGAGAGGUGAGUGGAAUUGCGAGUGUAGAGGUGAAAUUCGUAGAUAUUCGCAAGAACACCAGUGGCGAAGGCGGCUCACUGGCCCGGAACUGACGCUGAGACGCGAAAGCGUGGGGAGCAAACAGGG